GAUGAACGCUGGCGGCGUGCUUAAUACAUGCAAGUCGAGCGGAAAGGUCCGCUGGUUGCGUACUCGAGGUGAGCACCGGUGAGGUACGUGACAGUAACGUAACUUACAUAUUAGGCUAAAAUAAGUCCAGUGGGGCGAAUACCGUGCCGGAUCUCCUGUUGCAUCGCGGGGUUUGGCAGGUAUCGGCGGUUUGGGAUGGACUCGCGGCUGAUCACCUUGUUGGUGGGCUAGUGGCUCACCAAGGCACUGACCGGUAGCCGACCUGAGAGGGUGACCGGCCACAUGAGGACUGAGAUACGGCCCAGACUCCUACGGGAGGCAGCAGUGGGGAAUAUUGCACAAUGGGCGGAAGCCUGAUGCAGCAACGCCGCGUGCGGGAUGACGGCCUUCGGGUUGUAAACCGCUGUCGCCUGUGACGAAGCGUGAGUGACGGUAAUGGGUAAAGAAGCACCGGCUAACUACGUG
rnacentral:rRNA from 1 species